ACUGCCGGAUGCCCAGACCAGAGUGGACGGCGGUUGGCCGCUGACCACCAGAGCAAACGGAGCCGAAAGACUGGGACAGGACGGUCCCUAGUAAUCAGGCCAUCACCACGGGCUUAGGAACCACGUUUAUUGAAAAAGUGAGGUGAGGAGAAAGAAACCGACCCUUUGGAAGUUUCGCUAACUUUUGCAGUUUGCUCUUGGGAGGCAACAGGACAGAAAGGAAAUUCCAGAAGCCCUUAGAGUUUUUAGCUACACUAGCAGGGCCACCUUUUGGGGGACUACAUCCUGGAGGCCACCCUCUCACCUGGCUAUAUCAGGGUAUCCGUCACUGCAGGCGAUGUGCAGGGGUGUCCAGCCUGUCUCGUCUCGCUGAUGAAUGUCUGCCCCAUAUUUGACUAGCAGCUUCACACACUCAAGGUUUCCAGAAAGCACCGCUUCAUGAAGGGCAGCCAGGCCUGGACAGGACAGGAGAGGUCAAGGCUCAGGCCUUCCCCUGCCACCCCACAGAGCCUCACUGGCCCCGCAGGCACUCACCCGAGGGGUAGAUGGUGUCCAGGGAGACUUUCCGAGUCCGGAUGAAGCGCCCCACCUGCUCCAGGUCGCCCUGGCGGAUGUGGUCCAAGAACAGGACGUCAUUAGGGAAGUGCA